rnacentral:rRNA from 1 species
GCGAGUACAGUGGCAGACGGGUGAGUAACACGUGAACGACCUACCCUUGAGUGGGGAAUAACACCGCGAAAGCGGUGCUAAUACCGCAUAAUAUCUUGUAGCUGCAUGGUUACAGGAUCAAAAGUGAGAAUUGCUUAAGGAGGGGUUCGCGGCUGAUUAGCUAGUAGGUGAGGUAACGGCCCACCUAGGCGACGAUCAGUAGCCGGCCUGAGAGGGCGAACGGCCACACUGGAACUGAGACACGGUCCAGACUCCUACGGGAGGCAGCAGUGGGGAAUUUUGCGCAAUGGGCGAAAGCCUGACGCAGCAACGCCGCGUGGAGGAUGAAGGCCUUCGGGUCGUAAACUCCUGUCGAUGGGGACGAAAGCCUAGCAAUAGGAUUGACUGUACCCGUUGAGGAAGCCACGGCUAACUCCGUGCCAGCAGCCGCGGUAAUACGGAGGUGGCAAGCGUUGUUCGGAAUUACUGGGCGUAAAGGGCGCGUAGGCGGCCUUACAAGUCAGAUGUGAAAGCCCCGGGCUCAACUCGGGAAUUGCAUCUGAAACUGUAAGGCUUGAGUUCUGGAGGGGAUGGUGGAAUUCCCAGUGUAGCGGUGAAAUGCGUAGAUAUUGGGAGGAACACCUGCGGCGAAGGCGGCCAUCUGGACAGUGACUGACGCUGAGGCGCGAAAGC